GCGCCAGUAGCCGAAUUGGUAUAGGCAAAAGACUGUCAUUCUUUCGGGCGAAAGCCUCUGCGAGUUCGAAUCUCGCCUGGCGCACCC
rnacentral:tRNA from 1 species